rnacentral:rRNA from 1 species
AAAAAAGGUAAGCUACUAAGAGCGAAUGGUGGAUGCCUUGACUGGUAAAGGCGAUGAAGGACGUACUAGACUGCGAUAAGCUACGGGGAGCUGUCAAGAAGCUUUGAUCCGUAGAUUUCCGAAUGGGGCAACCCAAUGUAUAGAGAUAUACAUUACCUAUAUAGGAGCGAACGAGGGGAAUUGAAACAUCUUAGUACCCUCAGGAAAAGAAAUCAAUAGAGAUUGCGUCAGUAGCGGCGAGCGAAAGCGCAAGAGGGCAAACCCAGUGCUUGCACUGGGGGUUGUAGGACUGCAAUGUGCAAGAGGUGAGUUUAGCAGAACAUUCUGGAAAGUAUAGCCAUAGAGGGUGAUAGUCCCGUAUGCGAAAAACAAACCUUAGCUAGCAGUAUCCUGAGUAGGGCGGGACACGAGAAAUCCUGUCUGAAGCUGGGUCGACCACGAUCCAACCCUAAAUACUAAUACCAGAUCGAUAGUGCACAAGUACCGUGAGGGAAAGGUGAAAAGAACUGAGGUGAUCAGAGUGAAAUAGAACCUGAAACCAUUUGCUUACAAUCAUUCAGAGCCCUAUGUAGCAAUACAGGGUGAUGGACUGCCUUUUGCAUAAUGAGCCUGCGAGUUGUGGUGUCUGGCGAGGUUAAGCACACGCGAAGCCGUAGCGAAAGCGAGUCUGAAUAGGGCGCUUAGUCAGAUGCUGCAGACCCGAAACGAAGUGAUCUAUCCAUGAGCAAGUUGAAGCUAGUGUAAGAACUAGUGGAGGACUGAACCCAUAGGCGUUGAAAAGCCCCGGGAUGACUUGUGGAUAGGGGUGAAAGGCCAAUCAAACUUCGUGAUAGCUGGUUCUCUCCGAAAUAUAUUUAGGUAUAGCGUUGUGUCGUAAUAUAAGGGGGUAGAGCACUGAAUGGGCUAGGGCAUACACCAAUGUACCAAACCCUAUCAAACUCCGAAUACCUUAUAUGUAAUCACAGCAGUCAGGCGGCGAGUGAUAAAAUCCGUCGUCAAGAGGGAAACAACCCAGACUACCAGCUAAGGUCCCUAAAUCUUACUUAAGUGGAAAACGAUGUGAAGUUACUUAAACAACCAGGAGGUUGGCUUAGAAGCAGCCAUCCUUUAAAGAAAGCGUAAUAGCUCACUGGUCUAGUGAUUUUGCGCGGAAAAUAUAACGGGGCUAAAGUAAGUACCGAAGCUGUAGGCUUGACUUUGUCAAGCGGUAGGAGAGCGUUCUAUUUGCGUCGAAGGUAUACCGGUAAGGAGUGCUGGAGCGAAUAGAAGUGAGCAUGCAGGCAUGAGUAGCGAUAAUUAAUGUGAGAAUCAUUAACGCCGUAAACCCAAGGUUUCCUACGCGAUGCUCGUCAUCGUAGGGUUAGUCGGGUCCUAAGUCGAGUCCGAAAGGGGUAGACGAUGGCAAAUUGGUUAAUAUUCCAAUACCAACAUUAGUGUGCGAUGGAAGGACGCUUAGGGCUAAGCGUUGCUAGCGGAUGGAAGUGCUAGUCGAAAGUUGUAGGUGCUUAUACAGGAAAAUCCGUGUAAGAAUACACCGAGAACCUAUAGGCUUUUUGAAGUCUUCGGAUGGAUAAGAGUAAUGCUGAUGCCGUCGAGCCAAGAAAAGUUUCUAAGUUUAGCUAAUGUUGCCCGUACCGUAAACCGACACAGGUGGGUGGGAUGAGUAUUCUAAGGCGCGUGGAAGAACUCUCUUUAAGGAACUCUGCAAAAUAGCACCGUAUCUUCGGUAUAAGGUGUGGUUCGCUUCGUAUUAGGAUUUACUCCGAAAGCGAAGAAACUUACAACAAAGAGUCCCUCCCGACUGUUUACCAAAAACACAGCACUCUGCUAACUCGUAAGAGGAUGUAUAGGGUGUGACGCCUGCCCGGUGCUCGAAGGUUAAUUGAUGGGGUUAGCAUUAGCGAAGCUCUUGAUCGAAGCCCGAGUAAACGGCGGCCGUAACUAUAACGGUCCUAAGGUAGCGAAAUUCCUUGUCGGUUAAAUACCGACCUGCAUGAAUGGCGUAACGAGAUGGGAGCUGUCUCAAAGAGGGAUCCAGUGAAAUUGUAGUGGAGGUGAAAAUUCCUCCUACCCGCGGCAAGACGGAAAGACCCCGUGGACCUUUACUACAGCUUGACACUGCUAUCUGGAUAAGAAUGUGCAGGAUAGGUGGGAGGCUUUGAGUAUAUGACGCCAGUUGUAUAUGAGCCAUUGUUGAGAUACCACUCUUUCUUAUUUGGGUAGCUAACCAGCUUGAGUUAUCCUCAAGUGGGACAAUGUCUGGUGGGUAGUUUGACUGGGGCGGUCGCCUCCCAAAUAAUAACGGAGGCUUACAAAGGUUGGCUCAGAACGGUUGGAAAUCGUUCGUAGAGUAUAAAGGUAUAAGCCAGCUUAACUGCAAGACAUACAAGUCAAGCAGAGACGAAAGUCGGUCUUAGUGAUCCGGUGGUUCUGUGUGGAAGGGCCAUCGCUCAAAGGAUAAAAGGUACCCCGGGGAUAACAGGCUGAUCUCCCCCAAGAGCUCACAUCGACGGGGAGGUUUGGCACCUCGAUGUCGGCUCAUCGCAUCCUGGGGCUGGAGCAGGUCCCAAGGGUAUGGCUGUUCGCCAUUUAAAGCGGUACGCGAGCUGGGUUCAGAACGUCGUGAGACAGUUCGGUCCCUAUCUGCCGUGGGCGUAAGAAGAUUGAAGAGAUUUGACCCUAGUACGAGAGGACCGGGUUGAACAAACCACUGGUGUAGCUGUUGUUCUGCCAAGAGCAUCGCAGCGUAGCUAAGUUUGGAAAGGAUAAACGCUGAAAGCAUCUAAGCGUGAAGCCAACUCUAAGAUGAAUCUUCUCUAAGCUCUCUAGAAGACUACUAGUUUGAUAGGCUGGGUGUGUAAUGGAUGAAAGUCCUUUAGCUGACCAGUACUAAUAGAGCGUUUGGCUUAUCUUUAAUAAAGCAU